rnacentral:rRNA from 1 species
GACGAACGCUGGCGGCGUGCCUAAUACAUGCAAGUAGAACGCUGAAGGAGGAGCUUGCUUCUCUGGAUGAGUUGCGAACGGGUGAGUAACGCGUAGGUAACCUGCCUUGUAGCGUGGGAUAACUAUUGGAAACGAUAGCUAAUACCGCAUAAGAGUAGAUGUUGCAUGACAUUUGCUUAAAAGUUGCAAUUGCAUCACUACCAGAUGGACCUGCGUUGUAUUAGCUAGUUGGUGGGGUAACGGCUCACCAAGGCGACGAUACAUAGCCGACCUGAGAGGGUGGUCGGCCAAACUGGGACCGAGACACGGCCCAGACUCCUACGGGAGGCAGCAGUAGGGAAUCUUCGGAAAUGGACGGAAGUCUGACCGAGCAACGCCGCGUGAGUGAAGAAGGUUUUCGGAUCGUAAAGCUCUGUUGUAAGAGAAGAACGAGUGUGAGAGUGGAAAGUUCACACUGUGACGGUAUCUUACCAGAAAGGGACGGCUAACUACGUG